rnacentral:rRNA from 1 species
ACAUGCCUUUGCGUGGGGGAUAACUAUUGGAAACGAUAGCUAAUACCGCAUGAUGUCUACGGACCAAAGAGGGCUUCGGCUCUCGCGCAAAGAGUGGCCUAUGCGAGAUUAGCUUGUUGGUGAGGUAAAGGCUCACCAAGGCGACGAUCUCUAGCUGUUCUGAGAGGAAGAUCAGCCACACUGGAACUGAGACACGGUCCAGACUCCUACGGGAGGCAGCAGUGGGGAAUAUUGCACAAUGGGGGCAACCCUGAUGCAGCCAUGCCGCGUGUGUGAAGAAGGCCUUCGGGUUGUAAAGCACUUUCAGUUGUGAGGAAAGGUUAAUGGUUAAUACCCAUUAGCUGUGACGUUAGCAACAGAAGAAGGACCGGCUAACUCCGUGCCUGCAGCCGCGGUAAUACGGAGGGUCCGAGCGUUAAUCGGAAUUACUGGGCGUAAAGCGCACGCAGGCGGUUUGUUAAGCUAGAUGUGAAAGCCCCGGGCUCAACCUGGGAAUUGCAUUUAGAACUGGCAGGCUAGAGUCUUGGAGAGGGGAGUGGAAUUCCAGGUGUAGCGGUGAAAUGCGUAGAUAUCUGGAGGAACAUCAGUGGCGAAGGCGACUCCCUGGCCAAAGACUGACGCUCAUGUGCGAAAGUGUGGGUAGCGAACAG